GAUGAACGCUGGCGGCGUGCCUAAUACAUGCAAGUCGAGCGAACAGACGAGGAGCUUGCUCCUCUGACGUUAGCGGCGGACGGGUGAGUAACACGUGGAUAACCUACCUAUAAGACUGGGAUAACUUCGGGAAACCGGAGCUAAUACCGGAUAAUAUAUUGAACCGCAUGGUUCAAUAGUGAAGGACGGUUUUGCUGUCACUUAUAGAUGGAUCCCGCCGCAUUAGCUAGUUGGUAAGGUAACGGCUUACCAAGGCAACGAUGCGUAGCCGACCUGAGAGGGUGAUCGGCCACACUGGAACUGAGACACGGUCCAGACUCCUACGGGAGGCAGCAGUAGGGAAUCUUCCGCAAUGGGCGAAAGCUUGACGGAGCAACGCCGCGUGAGUGAUGAAGGUCUUCGGAUCGUAAAACUCUGUUAUUAGGGAAGAACAAAUGUGUAAGUAACUAUGCACGUCUUGACGGUACCUAAUCAGAAAGCCACGGCUAACUACGUG
rnacentral:rRNA from 1 species